CUUGUUAUCUCGCGGCUGUUGAGACUAGACGUGCAGAAUCGGGGUGCUGGCAGGAUCGGUUCCUCCUGCGGUCUUCGAGGGAAGGGUCUGUUCCAGACUUCUCUCCUUGGCUUGUCCAGGGCUGUCUUCUUGUUCGCGUAGCACUCUCUCUGAACGAGCUGUGACAUUAGCCAGAAUGGUGACCUGACAAGAAAGAGCAGGAAGAGAUGGUGCCUGGACGCCACGAAGAACCUUCACACACCGACUGGACAACAGACAGGAGGAAGCGGCCUCUUCCCACUGUUGUUCUGAAUCUUCAGCAGGACAACUGGUCCUCAUCUGGCAACACGUGACUAACCUCUCCAAAGUAGGACGCCAAGUUGCACAGCAUCAAGGGGCCAUUCACAGUGAAGUCUUGGAGGGGCCUCCCUGGAGUUCUGGGUCCUUAGCCUGGGCAGCCCCAGCCAGCAGCCCUGCCCCCAUCGCUGGUCUUGACCUCCUCCUGGGCGCUGGCUCCCGGGAGGGGAGAGGAGGGAAGUGCUUCUACCUCUGCCACACCUCAGUCUUCUUCACUGCUGGGGAUUCAACUGACUUCAAUUCAGUGAACCAAUUAAUUUAAUCAACUUUAACUCAGUUAAUAAAUUCAGUUAUCAAUUGAUUGCCUCUCAGUUCCAAAUGCAAAAUUCUUUGGCUGCUCUGAAAAAAUGGAGCUGGGCCCUGCAAGUAUUUCUCCCCUGCUGGCUGGCACAGUGUUACCCUUUGUCGGAGGAGGCCGCUGGAGGGACACUGGAUAAGGAGGGUGUUUUCUCUCUCUGGUCCUGGCGUGCAUCUCUCACCAGGCUCCUACAGCCUGCAGCUUCCCCAGGACGGGCUUCUGGCAGGCCAGUGGCCAGCAGGAGCAGCUGUCCCCAACACGCCAGAGGACAGCUUUGCAGCGAGUUCUGACAUGCGGCCCCUCUUUGGGGACAGGAUCCCCAUCUUCUCAGAGGGCAGAUGACCAUAAAGCUCUGUUGGGGCAGCACCAGGUCUCUUCUCUGCCCACCCAUGAGCCACAACCGUGCCCUCCACCUCCAGUGAGGUCUGGAUCUCAGCCCUGGGGUGUGGGCACCUCUGCCUUGGGUGUUCUGUCUCAGCCCUUAGGUGUGGCUGCUGCUUGUGUCUGUGACCCCUGUGUUGUUUAGAGCUCCCUUUGUUUCUUAGUAGCCAGUUUCCUGUUACUAUUAUAU